CCGUUAUUCUUCUUCAAGCCAGGAUACAAUGUUUUCAGUUGUGGAAUUCACCUCAGAUCACAGUGUAGCUGUAAUUCCUGAUGCAUGGAAAGAAAAAUUAGACCAGGACAUCUAUUGCUACUGGCCACCCAACAAUGUCCAAAGUCUAUUAAAAAAAAGGACUUUGCCUGAUAAAAUAAAGUGGAACAGACUACAAGUCCACAGAGUUUUUAAAUCCUCAGUUGACUACAUGACAGCCCAUAAGCUCAUGAGAAAAGCUCAAAUCACCUCGUGUCCUGAACUCUCAGACUCCUCCAUCACUGAGAAAAGGCUAACCAGGCUGAAGAGACCACCUUACGCCUUUUAGAGUCAGAUAGUGAUAUCACAGAUAUUGAAGACAGUAAUAUCAACACCAGGCCACCAGCAAAAAUACCAACCCUUCCCUCUCCACCGAGAACAAUGGAACCAAGAAGGAACUCAUCCGAAACACCUGAGCCAUCACAGACAUGUGGAGGUCUUGACAGCUUGCCAAGAGCUGGAUUUUGUGGGGGCUACAGAGCAACUAUCAAUGCCGAUAGCACCCAUUCAAUGAGGCCACAACAUUUAGAUUUCUGCAAUACACCAAACUGGGAUGUCCAAAGUGAAGGACAUAGGGUUAUGGCACAUCAAUUUGAAGGCAAGAUACAUACAACUUUUUCUGGAAAAUGUCAUAGCCUACAGUCUCUUGCUCGAGACUAAUAAAAACGGAAGAGACACUGUAUCUCAAGUGAUUUCCAUGAGCGUGAUUCAAGACGGAGUGAACACAGACAAAGCACCAAGAAUGCAAGAAUGGAGUCAUUAACAUAAUUCAAAUGUGGAUCAACACCAACAUAGUAUGUUACUUAUCUUUGAUGCAAAAUUUGAUCAUGAUAGAGCACUAGUGGCUUUGAGUCUAUUUUGAAAACCUCAAAAUUUAUGAAGUGCUAUUGUGAAGUUUUGCAUACAAAUUUUACU